UUGCAUGUGGAAAUGUCUGCUCCUCAUUCCUUUGGAAGCAGGAAUACAUCCAUAACAUGCUACAUUAAAAAAGGAGUUCUCAGGGCUGCCAACCUUACAGUAGAGGUUGAGUAGUAGUAUAUUUCUCCUACAUAA
ensembl:snoRNA SCARNA18 small Cajal body-specific RNA 18